CAUAUAAGAAAAGUCUACCAUUUGGGACUUUCUUAGGCUAUCCACAUCAGCAACUCUUCUAUGGUUGAUCCACAUCAGCUUUGGUGGUUACUACAGAAUUUUUGAUCCUUCAACUGCCUGGUGGGCUGCGGCAGUUAUUGCUGUGGGAGUUUCACCCUUCCAGCUUCUCUUGAUCAUUACGCAUUCUUCACUUCUCUGCCUAUAUUGACUUCCCAUGUUCAAUGUUGGUUACCAAAUUGAUAGAGGUUUCAAUACUCUCCAUCUUCUUUCUCCCUCUCCUUCUCCCUCUUCUUCUUUCAUCUCCAUCUCUUUUUCAUUGAUAUUAUUGAGUAUUAGACAGGUUCAAUUUUGAUUUUGAUUCUGCCUUCCUCACCUUCUCUCUUCCAUUCUUUCUUUUUUCAUCCAAGAAAAAAAACCCAUGGAAUCUCUUCCGAACAUGUUUCCAUAAUAACAGCCAAAACAAACACAAUAAUAACAGUUAGAAAAUUCAAUCUCUCAUCUCAAUCAUCUUUCGUCGCAAAUUCGCAUUAAUCGUACAAGCUAUUUCAUCUCGAUACUCAACUCAACAAGACAAGCAAUUCAUCGAAGAAUGAAGAAAAUAGGAUUUACCUUUCUGAGCAACUCUGGUGGUUGUUUGGCUGAAGACUUGGCGAAAUAAACGCGAGAAAGAAUUCCAUAAUUUCAGAUCGACGAUGAUGCGAUGAUAAAAAUGCGUCUAUGCAAUUUGUGAACACCGAAAGGCGCUCUGGCUGCUUCUUCGAUGGAUCGCGACGGUGCUUGCGAUUCCUCUCCAUUCUAUUGCACAAGUUGUGCCUCACAGAGACUUUGGUGCACUUGGGUUUAGGGAAAUCAGAAAUGUGGCGAUUCGUUUCGAUUUGGGUUUCUCUUAUUAAGCUAAUUUGGAUUUCUUUACUCGAAUGAUUUACGGUUAAUCUGCGGCGUCAGAUCAGGCAACACAAUGGUGAAAUUGGGAGUGGAGCUUGGAGAACUAAGAGCAAGCGUCCUUGCGAGAUUUUUGAAGAAUUUUUUACUCCUUUGGAUGAAUCCGUUGCUAGAAGUACCUCUAUAUUUCAUAAAUGCAUAAUACACACGGUGUGAUGGGUUUUCCUGAAUGCAAAAACAAUUAGGAUUUCUACUCAUGGUGAGGAGUUUACAUAUAUUCUAUUAUUUUGAAUUUCAUUUUGGACUUUGAUAUACCUUUCACUCUUCAAAAUUAGGAUUCCUACUCAUGGGGGAACAACCUCUCCCGUUCGAGGAUCAUGCAAUUCCGGCUGCUGACGACGACGAGGACUACACUGGCGGCAAUGAUGCCAUGAAUGAAUUGGAGUGGUCGGAUUCCAAAUUGUUGAUAUUUUUUAUCGACUCAAAUGACAAUGGGAUCUAUGAUGAUGUUUUGCUUGGCAUAAUUAGGCAAAUGUUAUUCACUAGCUAUCGAAUGGUUUCCUUCAUUCAAAACAUGAACUCAAAGAUUGGGAUAUCUAAAUAGUGGUCUUCCACACAGACAGCGGUAAGUGGGUUGCAUAUGAUUGGAUUGUCGUGUUCACAUCUAAGGGUAUUUUCCUAAUAAAAAGAAUGGUUAAUAUAUAAUAAGGAGUAACAAACGCAGCUCGAUCAUUGAUAGGGCUACAGGAUCAACGAAUUUGACUGACACUGAACCAUAUGUUACGAAGCUUAGCGAAGAUCAAAUGGCCCAGCUUCUCUCUGCCUUUUGGAUUCAGGCCAACCGAAUAUUGAAGCUAUAGCUCAUUCAUUUAUAUUGACACUAAUUGUUUUGCGCAUGAAGAUAGAGUUAUAAGGUUUAAGGAUUGCUAUGGAUUGUAGGCUUGCAGCAGAGUUUGAUGGUUUAUUGUUAGGGCAUACAAUUUGCUUGAAGUAGAUGGUGCUGCUUGAUGGAAAUUGUUCUCAGCACGAGAUUCAAUGUUUAUGAAGUUACACUUACACAAUGUGUGAAAUAUUUUCUCUCUGGGCAUAAUGGGACUGUCGAAAUCCAUGUCUUUGUUGAAGAGGUACUUGCCCUUGAGAUUGUUGCUCUAUCUUGUGUUAUCCAUAAGAACUUUGCCAAUCUUAUUCGUUAUUAUGAAGAAGACGAACCAUUCACAAGGACGGUGGUGUUUGAGUAUACUCCGAACGAAAGCUUAUAUGAGCAUCUACUUGGAUGAAGACGGGAACAAGAUGUUAAAUGAAUACAUUCGAGAGUAUAAGAUUGGUUCUGGUAGCUAUGCCAAAGUGGGUCUUUACCAAAGUAGUGUUGAUGGAAGACAUUAUGCAAUUAAGGAAGGACACUUUUAGUGUUAGCAUGCAAACCAUUUUAUCAAAGGCUUACCGCAAAAUGCAUGUCUGUACUAUUAUCAAGAUAAGAGCAUUGCAGAUAAUUUAUUGAAGUUAUAUCUUUUGAUCUGCAAUCCUUUCAUAGGUCUCACUUGCAAAAGCUUCGAGUUGCCCCAUCUGAGACUGCCAUGAUGGAUGUACUACGUGAAGGCAUAAUUUGGGCUGAUUUUUCUUGGUUGGAAUGGAUUUGGGUAUCUCCUCUUGAAUUGCAAGGUUAUUAACAAAAAGCGACACAUUGUUUCCAUUAGAAAACAUGUCAAUAAGAACACGGGUAUUUUGUUGAGGCGUAGGACUGGCUACCUGUUGUUCUCCUACAGGAAUAAGAGUAAGUGAAUUAUCUGCUUUUGGGAUCAACCCUUACAGGAGGGGCGGAAAAAUUUGUUAAUACUGCCAAAAAGAUAGAGCAAAUAGGCUGGGAGACUACACACUUUGAACAUCCUUUUGACAACUACAAGCAAACAGGCUUAUCCUGCAAGGAGAUACAAGUUAUAACUUAAGCACUAAACUCAUUCAAGCAUCCAUUCAUUCAAAAGAACUAUAUGUUUAGCAAUGCAGCAAAAGGAUCUGUGAUUUUCGUCGCUGAUAAUGUAACCAUCUUGAAUAGGUGCGGCGAAUGCUACGCAGUGCUGGACAUUGGUUCAAACCGGAAUGACAUAGAACCCUACUGAGAUUUGUAAUUAUAUUGAUAUGAAUAAACUCUUAUUGUUAGUUACAAGUAUAUUAAGUUUUGUUAGCAAGAUUCUGUCAACUUUAUUCUAAUACAAACUUAAAAGAGUUUACUUCGUAAUGAAAA